rnacentral:rRNA from 1 species
UACGAAGGGGGCUAGCGUUGUUCGGAAUCACUGGGCGUAAAGGGCGCGUAGGCGGCCGAUCAAGUCGGGGGUGAAAGCCUGUGGCUCAACCACAGAAUUGCCUUCGAUACUGUUUGGCUUGAGACCGGAAGAGGUAAGUGGAACUGCGAGUGUAGAGGUGAAAUUCGUAGAUAUUCGCAAGAACACCAGUGGCGAAGGCGGCUUACUGGCCCGAUACUGACGCUGAGGUGCGAAAGCGUGGGGAGCAAGCAGG